rnacentral:rRNA from 1 species
AAAGUAUCUUCGGAUACGAGUACAGUGGCGGACGGGUGAGUAAUACAUAGGAAUCUACCCAAUGGAGGGGGAUAGCUCGAGGAAACUCGAAUUAAUACCGCAUAAUCUCCACGGAGUAAAGAGGGCUUCGGCUCUCGCCAUCGGAUGAGCCUAUGCAGGAUUAGCUUGUUGGUGAGGUAAAGGCUUACCAAGGCGACGAUCCUUAGCUGGUUUGAGAGGAUGACCAGCCACAUCGGGACUGAGACACGGCCCGGACUUCUACGGAAGGCAGCAGUAGGGAAUAUUGGACAAUGAGCGAAAGCUUGAUCCAGCCAUGCCGCGUGUGCGAUGACGGCCCUCGGGUUGUAAAGCACUUUAGGUAACGAGGAAAAGUUAGGUGUUAAUACCAUCUAACCUUGACGUUAAUUACAGAAUAAGCACCGGC